GAUGAACGCUGGCGGCGUGCUUAACACAUGCAAGUCGAACGGGAUCCCAGGAGCUUGCUCCUGGGUGAGAGUGGCGAAUGGGUGAGUAAUGCGUGACCGACCUGCCCCAUACACCGGAAUAGCUCCUGGAAACGGGUGGUAAUGCCGGAUGCUCCAGUUGGAUGCAUGUCCUUCUGGGAAAGAUUCUAUCGGUAUGGGAUGGGGUCGCGUCCUAUCAGCUUGAUGGCGGGGUAACGGCCCACCAUGGCUUCGACGGGUAGCCGGCCUGAGAGGGCGACCGGCCACAUUGGGACUGAGAUACGGCCCAGACUCCUACGGGAGGCAGCAGUGGGGAAUAUUGCACAAUGGGCGCAAGCCUGAUGCAGCGACGCCGCGUGCGGGAUGACGGCCUUCGGGUUGUAAACCGCUUUUGACUGGGAGCAAGCCCUUCGGGGUGAGUGUACCUUUCGAAUAAGCACCGGCUAACUACGUGCCAGCAGCCGCGGUAAUACGUAGGGUGCAAGCGUUAUCCGGAAUUAUUGGGCGUAAAGGGCUCGUAGGCGGUUCGUCGCGUCCGGUGUGAAAGUCCAUCGCUUAACGGUGGAUCCGCGCCGGGUACGGGCGGGCUUGAGUGCGGUAAGGGAGACUGGAAUUCCCGGUGUAACGGUGGAAUGUGUAGAUAUCGGGAAGAACACCAAUGGCGAAGGCAGGUCUCUGGGCCGUCACUGACGCUGAGGAGCGAAAGCGUGGGGAGCGAACAAAAGGGAUACCCUGGUGUC
rnacentral:rRNA from 1 species